rnacentral:rRNA from 1 species
CCUACGGGUGGCUGCAGUAGGGAAUUUUCGGCAAUGGGGGGAACCCUGACCGAGCAACGCCGCGUGGGUGAAGAAGGUCUUCGGAUCGUAAAACCCUGUUGUUAGAGAAGAAAGAGCGUGAGAGUAACUGUUCACGUCUCGACGGUAUCUAACCAGAAAGCCACGGCUAACUACGUGCCAGCAGCCGCGGUAAUACGUAGGUGGCAAGCGUUAUCCGGAUUUAUUGGGCGUAAAGGGAACGCAGGCGGUCUGUUAAGUCUGAUGUGAAAGCCUUCGGCUUAACCGGAGUAGUGCAUUGGAAACUGGGAGACUUGAGUGCAGAAGAGGAGAGUGGAACUCCAUGUGUAGCGGUGAAAUGCGUAGAUAUAUGGAAGAACACCAGUGGCGAAAGCGGCUCUCUGGUCUGUAACUGACGCUGAGGUUCGAAAGCGUGGGUAGCAAACAGGAUUAGAUACCCGUGUAGUC